ensembl:snRNA U6 U6 spliceosomal RNA
UUGCUUCAGCAGCACAUAUACUAAAAUUGGAAUGAUAUACAGAAGAUUAGCAUGGCCCCUCAGCAAG